rnacentral:rRNA from 1 species
CAGCUCGUGUUGUGAAAUGUUGGGUUAAGUCCCGCAACGAGCGCAACCCUUAUCCUUUGUUGCCAGCGAUUCGGUCGGGAACUCAAAGGAGACUGCCAGUGAUAAACUGGAGGAAGGUGGGGAUGACGUCAAGUCAUCAUGGCCCUUACGACCAGGGCUACACACGUGCUACAAUGGCGCAUACAAAGAGAAGCGACCUCGCGAGAGCAAGCGGACCUCAUAAAGUGCGUCGUAGUCCGGAUUGGAGUCUGCAACUCGACUCCAUGAAGUCGGAAUCGCUAGUAAUCGUGGAUCAGAAUGCCACGGUGAAUACGUUCCCGGGCCUUGUACACACCGCCCGUCACACCAUGGGAGUGGGUUGCAAAAGAAGUAGGUAGCUUAACCUUCGGGAGGGCGCUUACCACUUUGUGAUUCAUGACUGGGGUGAAGUCGUAACAAGGUAACCGUAGGGGAACCUGC